GGUAGUCGUGGACCGGUCGCGGGGGUAAUGCGGAUGUGCGUAGUGUGGUUUGGAAUGACUGGGCGUAAAGCGCGCGUGGGAGGCAAGGCAUGUGGGGCGGGAAAGGCCUGUGCGCAACCUGGGAACUGCGCUUCAGACUGCACGGCUUGAGUCCGGGGGAGGGUGGUGGAAUUCCCAGUGUAGAGGUGAAAUUCGUAGAGAUCGGGAGGAAGGCCGGUGGCGAAGGCGGCGCUCUGGAACACACCUGACGCUGAGACACGAAAGCGUGGGGAGCAAACAGGAUUAGAUACCCCAGUAGUC
rnacentral:rRNA from 1 species